ACGGGAGGCAGCAGUAGGGAAUCUUCCACAAUGGACGAAAGUCUGAUGGAGCAACGCCGCGUGAGUGAUGAAGGUUUUCGGAUCGUAAAACUCUGUUGUAAGGGAAGAACAAGUGCGUUAGGUAAUGAACGCACCUUGACGGUACCUUAUCAGAAAGCCACGGCUAACUACGUGCCAGCAGCCGCGGUAAUACGUAGGUGGCAAGCGUUGUCCGGAUUUAUUGGGCGUAAAGCGCGCGCAGGUGGUUUCUUAAGUCUGAUGUGAAAGCCCCCGGCUCAACCGGGGAGGGUCAUUGGAAACUGGGAGACUUGAGUGCAGAAGAGGAUAGUGGAAUUCCAAGUGUAGCGGUGAAAUGCGUAGAGAUUUGGAGGAACACCAGUGGCGAAGGCGACUGUCUGGUCUGUAACUGACACUGAGGCGCGAAAGCGUGGGGAGCAAACAGGAUUAGAUACCCUGGUA
rnacentral:rRNA from 1 species